rnacentral:rRNA from 1 species
GACGAAGGUGGCUAGCGUUGUUCGGAAUCACUGAGCUUAAAGAGCACGUAGGCGGCCUGUUAAGCAUCUUGUGAAAUCCCUCGGCUCAACCGAGGAAUUGCUGGGUGUACUGGCAGGCUUGAGGCAAGUAGGGGCGCAUGGAACUCUUGGUGGAGCGGUGAAAUGUGUUGAUAUUGGAAGGAACACCGGUGGCGAAAGCGGCAUACUGGGGCUUGUCUGACGCUGAGGCACGAAAGCUAGGGGAGCAAACAGG